CACGUAGGGUGCGAGCGUUGUCCGGAAUUAUUGGGCGUAAAGAGCUCGUAGGCGGUGUGUCGCGUCGGCCGUGAAAACCUGCAGCUUAACUGUGGGCUUGCGGUCGAUACGGGCAGACUGGAGGUAUGCAGGGGAGAACGGAAUUCCUGGUGUAGCGGUGAAAUGCGCAGAUAUCAGGAGGAACACCGGUGGCGAAGGCGGGUCUCUGGGCCGAUAUUGACGCUGAGGAGCGAAAGCGUGGGGAGCGAACAGG
rnacentral:rRNA from 1 species